UUUCAUUUGUCAGCUUCCCUUCCUUUUAUGAACAGCCGGGGACAACAGUGAAGCAGGGCGAGGUGCAAGGGACAGGAAGUGAGGAAGGCUUUCUAUUCUGAGAUGCACAGUCGGCAGCCAGUUGACAGAGAGGUAGAGCUUGGGGAAAUAUUCACUGCAGCACGCCCACAAAAAGGAGGAGGAGAGCUGAUAUGUAUCAUCUAGGAAAACUUUCUUCUUACAGGGAAAAAAAGGAGAAGCAAGAAUUGUGAUCCAUAUUUUUGAAUGAACAAAUGAGUGACGGCCACGUUGGGCGGUUCAAAUGUGAUAAAUCCCCAUCUCAGCUCUCCUGCCAGCACUCAACACCUUGGGGAACCUGCUGUACCACUUCCUCACCUUUUAUCACGAGAAGACUUACUUGGUUACAAACCCAGAAAAGACCCAUUAACCAUAAAUAUAAAGUCAGUAUGAAAAAUAAAGCUAAAAGUAUUAUAAAAGCA